rnacentral:rRNA from 1 species
AGGACGAACGCUGGCGGCGUGCUUAACACAUGCAAGUCGAGCGGUGAUCCUCCUUCGGGAGGUGAUCAGCGGCGAACGGGUGAGUAACACGUGGGCAACCUGCCCCCUCACACUGGGAUAAACCUCGGGAAACCGGGGCUAAUACCGGAUACGACCUCGAGCGGCAUCUCUUGAGGUGGAAAGCUCCGACGGUGAGGGAUGGGCCCGCGGCCUAUCAGCUUGUUGGUGGGGUAAUGGCCUACCAAGGCGACGACGGGUAGCCGGCCUGAGAGGGCGACCGGCCACACUGGGACUGAGACACGGCCCAGACUCCUACGGGAGGCAGCAGUGGGGAAUAUUGCGCAAUGGGCGAAAGCCUGACGCAGCGACGCCGCGUGAGGGAUGAAGGCCUUCGGGUUGUAAACCUCUUUCAGCAGGGACGAAGCGAAAGUGACGGUACCUGCAGAAGAAGCACCGGCUAACUACGUGCCAGCAGCCGCGGUAA